rnacentral:rRNA from 1 species
AAGUCGUAACAAGGUUUCCGUAGGUGAACCUGCGGAAGGAUCAUUCACAAUAAGUGUUUAUGGCACUUUCAAAUCCAUACCCACCUUGUGUGCAAUGUAUAAGAGUCCUUUCCAACUCGGAUUGGACUUGAUUUUUCUCUCACACGUCUUCAAUUGCAAGUCUAAGCUUUCAGAGUAAUCAAAAAACUCGAAUACAACUUUCAACAACGGAUCUCUUGGCUCUCGCAUCGAUGAAGAACGCAGCGAAAUGCGAUACGUAAUGUGAAUUGCAGAAUUCAGUGAAUCAUCGAAUCUUUGAACGCACAUUGCGCCUUCUGGUAUUCCGGAAGGCAUGCUUGUUUGAGUAUCAGUAACAACCUCAGCCAAGUUUUUUGUCGCCUCUGGCGCGGAAAGCAACAGCUGGAUUUGAGCAAAGUCCCUUGGGAUUUCAAUUCGACGACCUUCGGGGAGCAAUUGAGCCGUGAGGGAUGCUUGAAAUACAGGUUCGGGCUGGCCAAAUGUCCUGGGCUACAAGCAUUUCAUACUUGAUCCCGUUAAACGGAUCAUUUCCAUUGCUGCAGCCAUCACAAACAGGAUCAAACGUGUCCAGUGUUUCCGACUGAUGCAGGAAGUUGGAGCCAACACAGAGCGAUCUGUGGUAGGUUCUUUCUAACUCGAUCUCAAAUCAAGUAAGACUACCCGCUGAACUUAA